rnacentral:tRNA from 1 species
GCGCUUGUAGCUCAGUUGGAUAGAGCACUUGGCUACGAACUAAGGGGUCGGGAGUUCGAAUCUCUC